rnacentral:tRNA from 1 species
GCAUCGGUAAUUCAAUGGCGAGAAUGCUCGCCUGCCACGCGGGCGCGGGCCCGGGUUCGAUUCCCGGCCGAUGCA